rnacentral:lncRNA from 1 species
AAAAAGUGUCCAGACGCCUACCAUUUCUCGGGCGAACGUCCUGGCCUCAUUACACCCGUGCGCUAGACUCCCUAAAAAUACACCUGAAUCUGUGUGUUUGCGGCGAGAGGCAGCUGUAGGAAAUGCGUGUUGUCGAUUUUUCGUUGAUUUUUUGCUCUUUUUCCACUUCAAAUUGGGACCACCACUCGCCUCUUGCUGCCUCCUGCCAGCGCUCGGAACGUGCCGUAGAACAACAGCCAGCGACGGAAAUCGACUGCAUUUAGGGGAUUUAGCGCAGUCAGACGGCAAGGAACUCAUGCGGCUGCUCUCGAUACAUGCGACUCAGAGCCGACGUGGAGUGAGACCCGAACGCAGGGAAAUUGCGAAUUUUAACAGAGGGAACUUCAGUUCUUCACCGAACUAAACUGGUGUCUUGCAUUCACUUCCCC